AAUGCUGAUGAAGGGUGUUCAGGGUUGAAAAUCUGUCAGAUGAGUAAGACAAGGAGGAGAAAGAGGUGGCAAGAAACUGAGAGGAAUCCCCCAGCUCCCAGCCUCCUCCUCUUCUUUUACCUCCUCCCUUUUCCCCUUGUGUGGAUGAGAGCAUCCCUUCUCUGCUGUGUGGAAUAUACAUGCCUAGGAGCCCCAUUGCUGGCACCAUGCAGGCACUAUUAAGCUGCCUGGGAGAAGUGUCUGCAACAGCACAGGCACAUGUGAGCAGUUGGUGAGUGGAUCAGCCCCUGCUGUCCGGCUCCCAAACGCUGCUCUUAGCACUGAAGGUAUGCUGGUGCUGCAGGUGAGCCUCUAGGUCCUAAUGCCGAUCCCUCUUCACUCGGUGCUGAUUACAGGCAUUUCAAAAAACAACAAAAUCCAGGACAGGACCAAACAUUUCUCUCUACUCCAUCGGCUGUUUGACUUUGCUUGGAGGAGGCUGAUUGCUUGUGUUGGAGAUCAGGCUCGGCUGGGAAAUCAUGGGUGUUUGUAGCGGCAGGUGCACACUGCUGGGUAUCUGUGGGAUUCAACUGGCAUGUAUCUUGGAGAGACAGAUUUUUGACUUUCUUGGUUACCAGUGGGCACCAAUCUUGGUAAAUUUUAUUCACAUUAUUGUUGUCAUCUUUGGAAUAUUUGGAACUAUCCAGUGUAGAACCCGGUACAUAACAGCUUAUGCUGUCUGGCUUGUCCUGUGGGUAUCUUGGAAUGUUUUUAUUAUCUGCUUCUAUCUGGAGGCAGGAUACCUUUCUAAGGAGAGAGACCUUAUCAUGACAUUUAAUAUUUCAAUGCAUCGAUCCUGGUGGAUGGAAAAUGGACCAGGUUGUAUGGUUACAGCAGUAACUCCUGCUCCAGACUGGGCACCAGAGGACCAUCGGUAUAUUAGCAUCUCUGACUGUUUUCUAGAGUACCAGUAUAUAGAAGUGGCACAUAGCUCUCUCCAGAUCUUUUUUGCACUUGCUGGGUUUAUCUAUGCUUGUUACAUUCUGAAAUGUAUUUCAGAAGAAGAGGACAGCUUUGAUUUCAUAGGUGGAUUUGACUCAUACGGUUAUCAGGGUCCCCAGAAGACAUCUCACUUACAGCUGCAGCCGAUGUAUAUGAGUCAGAUCAGAGAGGACCUGAGGAAUCAGUGUGGCUGGCCUGCAGGAGAUCCAUAAAGUAUUACAAGAAAUGUGUCUUCAUUUAUUCCUAUUGCCCAAGCACUAGUGACAAUGAGGUCAAAAUGAACCAGCAAAUUACCUGAGUAUCAGAUUAAAGACCGUUGUUCCCCUUGCCUUUUUUAUGGAGAUAUUCCGUAGGAUUAUCUGAAGAGGAAGAAACAAUUCCAUGCAACAGAUCUGUUUCCCUGGAUAUAAGAACAGCAUUGUUCUCAUAGUGCCCAGAUGGAUACAUUUAUUGUAAAACCGAAUUUCCUGACACCAGUGAAAGCCUCAAACUGCUUAAGAACAGAUACAUUGGCACCCUCUUCUGGAAUUCUCUAUUAUUAUUUUUCCUUCCUUUUUUGCACUGCUAACCCUGUAACCAUUGAAUUUUUUAGAGAUUAACUUGGAUAGAUUGGAUAGAUCAGAAUUCAAUGAAUACUUUACACAAUGCUCAAAGUGCCAUAAUGACUCCUCAUUGCAAGGCAAGGGGAUACAAGAGGAGUUGUUGGUUUGUUUUUGGGGGUUUUUUUGUUGUUUUAAAUUUUUUUUUUGCAGGUCUGUAUCAUAAGAACAAACCAUGCCUGCACAUUGCCUUAACCCAGCCAAAAUGUGAUUGUCAGAGGACGAUAUACGGAGUAGCAGGAGGUGUCAUGGUUCAAUUUAAUGCUAACAUUAGCCUGCCAUUCCACAGAACUGAUCUGCUGACUGGAUGGCAUUCUAAUCAGACUGCUAUGCUAAUGUAAAUCCUUCAGAAUGACAACAGCUCUUGUUUACUCUCGAAAUCAAAGUGUGCAGAGUUGCCUUUUAAGUAAGGUUUAUGACACUGAGGCCCCUUAGCUCAGAAAACAUCUGUCACCAUUUUUUUGUUUGGGUGCUAUUACUGAUGUUACAUUAACUUGGCGGAAAAAGUGCAAUGAAAAAAUAUGGCAAUACAAUGCCCAGAAGUAACUUUUUUUAUUCAUAUUUACACCAGUAGUUAGCUUCAUAAUAACAAUAUUAGAAGCUCUGUACUCCAAAGCCUUUAACCUGAUGACUUGACACAGGAGGAUAUACUUUAUCUGUAGGCAUGGUAACAUAACUGCUAUUGCACUGGGGAGAGUCAUUAAAGUAUUUCUUUGCCUUCUGGUUCACUUGCAACCAUCCCCAAAUUAACUGGCAUAGUUAUGUAGCCCAUGACCAGAACUGGUUUAAUGUUAGGGCAAACUAGACAUUUGACCUUGACCCCACACUCAGAGGGGCCCAGAGGAUGUCCUUUAUAAAGAAUAAAUUAUAUAUAUAUAUAUAUAAUUACAUUGUGUAAUAAUUGUUAGAUGCUUUCAGUAUUUAUAUCAGGGGUAUUUAAUAUACAGGACUCCAAGUUCUUGAACUGCAAAUUUCAGAAUCCUUUUGAUAGCCAAUGUCAGAAUGAUUCUGAUAAUUGUAGCUCAACAAUGGCCAAAAGACCAUGGUAGGAUCAUGGCUGACUUAAGUGGUUUUCCUCUUAAGCUGGGGCCCAGUCUUAGCUGCAUUGUAUGGCACCCCUCAUUUCUGUAACUAUGGCCUCCAUUAUAUAAGAGGAAAAGCUGCUUUAAUGGUUUAUACCUUUUAUCCACUGUUGGUGUUAGUUUUUAUGUAACUAGUUUUUUCUUUUCUCAAAAUAAAGUGAGGACAUGUUUCUAAUCAGUAAUACCAACAAAACAUUUAGAACUAACUAAUAUUUUUUACAGUACCUAAUUUCAGUGUAAGAUAUAGUGUAUGUGAGCUCUUUUUACACUACAUUAGAAAGGUUUCUUUUGUGGAUAUCUGGAACAAUAUUUUUUGUGAAGUCUGGGGAUUUUGUUAGUAGAUUAUUAGAAUGCAUACUGGUAUUUUAUCUUCCUGUACUUGUGACUAUAAAAAAUGACUACAGUGAACUUUUUUUGGGGGGUGGGAGGGAAGUUUAUUAGAGUUAUAAGAUGUGUUUAUAAAUUAUUGAUUUUGAACUUGAUUAGAUAAAAAAAAUACCAAAUA